CAGAGACAUUUACAGGCAGCUUCACUGUCCUGUCUUGAACAUGCUCCACUAAACUGUGAACACAGGUGGCAUGGGCUUCGUAAUGAAUAAGAGUGCCUUCAAAGCAGGAGAUUCCCUGUACCUGCGAAGGGCCUUCGUGAACAACCUUGGAGAGGAAAGGAGAACCAGGAUUCAGAUCCAAAGCAUCCAGAAGGCUUUAGACAUCCAGAUCAGGGAGAUUGAUAGAGAAAAAGCAGCCCUGAAGAGAUUUUUGGUAAAGCUUCACAAGACAACUGGCUAUUUUCCUCAAAAACCAUUCUGGUGACUGAUGCUGUGCCACCAUAGGGGAGGAGUUCAUCUGAAACGUCCAAUACAGACAGAACACACCUGGUCUCCUUCUGUAUCUCUGUGACCCAAGAAAGCAAUAGAAGUGGCUACUGAGACAAGCCAAAAAAGAAAAAAAAGGACUAGAUAAUUGAGGACACAAAUGGACUGCCUCUAAAAUAAUAAACAAAACCUCCUACAAAAGAGAGAAUAAUGUGCUGAUUUUUUUCCCAGCUGAUUCUAUUUCUUUACAACUUGAGGUGAUAAUAUGCAGUGCACGUGUUAUUUUCUUACAGAUUCUCCAGGAGGCAAGAAUAAAGCUUAGCUAUUUUAGAAAUCUUUCAGAUACUGAUCAUGAAAUACGUAUUGUAUUUG